CAACUUUUCCUCCUGACAGGUUUUGAUAAAUCCCCCAAUAUACUUACAGAGAGAGCUAUAGGGUUUUGGAUUCAUCUAAGAGCCACGCAAAACAGAACUGAUGAAAGAGGCUGAGAUGGAGGAAUUAAGAAAGAGAAAUCCAGGAUAGUUCUGUAAACCCAGAGGCGGAACAAGCAUCUAGACCAGGCCUCCACUGACAUGCUGGACAUGAUCCCAUUGAGGAGCCAACAACAGAAGCCAUUCUAUCAUCAGUUUACCUUUGGCACUUUUCUACCAUGAAAGGAAACUAAACCAGAUCACCGGAAAUGGAGCCUAAGAGAUCCACUUCAGGAUUCACAAAGCUUCAUCUCUUUCAGCACUCAGCAGUAGACGCACAAAAGAGCUAAAAGGACUCUUCAAAUCAAAGGUAUUAAUAAUGGGCAGACUUCUGGGCUGGGAGUGUCUGGUUGGACUACCAAUUUAAUGCAGACACUUCACAAGGAGACUGAACAUCGAACUGAGCUGCCAAACUGAACUGGAUGUGGGAGAAGGAAUCCACUUAAUAGUUGAAAUUUCAUCCCAAGCUAUGGUUUUGUUAAGUUCCUACAAAGGUGAAAUAUUCUGGGUGGUCAGAAAGUAGUGCCAGAUAUUUAAAGGGGUACUCUGCCCCUAGACAUCUUAUCCUCUUUCCAAAGGAUAAGUGAUAAGAUGUCUGAUCACAGUGGUCCCCAGUGGCAGGACCCCCGCAUUCUCCCUGCUGCACCCGGUGUUCGUUUAGGUUCAGGUCAGGUCUGGUGCAGCGCCGCAGCACCAGAGGCUUGUUACAUGGCGGGUGCACCUCGCUUGUGUCCUAACGGCCAUGCCCCCUUAAUGCACGUCUAUGAGAGAGGGUGUGACGACAUGGCCGGGAUAUCACAAGCGGGGCACGGAAGUGAUGUCACGAGCCUCCGCCACAUAUCGGCAGUCAUCGGCAUUGGACCGAAGUUUGCGCCGUGCACCGGAUGCCUUGGGUGUCGCAGCCGAGAUUACGGGGAUCCCCAGCGGCGGGAGCCCUGCGAUCACACAUCUUAUUCCUAUCCUUUGGACAGGGGAUAAGAUUUCUAGGGGCGGAGUACCCCUUUAAGUUUAACAAUGCUUUGAAAUGGACUUUCAAUAGACGGUUCACCUAAUAGACGGUUCACCUACCAGAAAUAUCUGCUGAUAUAAUAUCUGA